rnacentral:ncRNA from 2 species
AAAUAGAGGAGUCUCCGAGCCAGUAGGCCUAAGGCCGAUUUCGGGGCUAUGGUCGCUGGCCUCCCGCCCCAGGUGGGCGGCGACGGGGUGGGCCGGGAAACCGGCCUGCCUCCCGGCAUGGGAAAGGAGCUUCGUUGACGAGGCA